rnacentral:tRNA from 1 species
UUCCUGGUGUCUCAGAUGGUAAAGAAUCUGCCUGCAAUGCAGGAGACCUGGGUUCAACUCCUGGGUCAGAAA